UGGGGAAUUUUGCACAAUGGGGGAAACCCUGAUGCAGCGACGCCGCGUGAUUUAGAAGGCCUUCGGGUUGUAAAAAUCUUUUUUAUGGGAUGAAAAUGACAGUACCAUAAGAAUAAGGUCCGGCUAAUUACGUGCCAGCAGCCGCGGUAAUACGUAAGGUCCGAGCGUUGUCCGGAAUCAUUGGGCGUAAAGGGUACGUAGGCGGGUAAGCAAGUUAGAAGUGAAAUCCUGUAGCUCAACUACAGUAAGCUUUUAAAACUGCUCAUCUUGAGAUAUGGAAGGGAAAGUGGAAUUCCUAGUGUAGCGGUGAAAUGCGCAGAUAUUAGGAGGAAUACCGGUGGCGAAGGCGACUUUCUGGCCAUAAUCUGACGCUGAGGUACGAAAGCGUGGGUAGCAAACAGG
rnacentral:rRNA from 1 species